GUUCCUGUAGUGUAGUGGUUAUCACGUUUGCUUUGCAUGCAAUAGGUCUCUGGUUCAAAACCAGACAGAAAUG
rnacentral:tRNA from 1 species